rnacentral:lncRNA from 1 species
ACUAUUCAAAAAAGGAUGCAAUGGAGAACAUUUACAGAGGACUGUGGGUAAAGCAAAGUCUUCAAGGGAAGAUAACAAAGGAUGAAACAAUGGUGUUGUGUGACUUCCUAGUGUGAAUCAUGGCAAUACAGUGAAAGACAGUGAUUUACUGCUUUUGAGGGCGUGCAUGUAUAUGAUUAACGGAUGGAAGUGCAGGACUCCAAGAUUUACUUCCUUCCCUUUCCAGCAGAAUUACCUGAGACGAGUAAAAUCUACUGGUGGAGUCACUCCAUUAUUCUUAUCUGUGGAGAUCUAGAUCUUGAUUUGAAAGUUUCUGAGAAAAUCUUCAGCUCAGACUUGAGGGUCAACUUUACCAGCUGAAGGAUCUGCAUUUACUGCUCAACCACAUCUAAUUUGAUGUCCUCUGCAGAUUUAAAAUGUGUGCCUUCUUUUCCGUCACCAAGUCAUCCCUGGGUUACUACUGAACAUCCUUCUCAAUUCCCCCCGACCCAUGGAUGGCUGUUCUCCAUUGUCUGUUUCACCAGAUGUCCUCAAAACAAACAGACAGAAGAAGGAAGUGGCUAAUGGAGCUGUGGAGUCCAAGUGUGACUGCCAAGAGGAAUCCAGCAAAGCCAAAAAGCCCAAGCAUGUAGCCCUGCCCGAAGCACGCCACACGCAUGGAAAACCCAGAGGAAAUGAGUGAGGAUCAAUGGGAAGAAGAGAGCCAGCCAGGUUCGAUGCCUUCUCCAUCCGUCAGUGAGGGUGUGGAGAGCCUGCAGGCGUGUGCCUCCCUCUGUAACUUGCUAUUCCUUGUGUAAUGUCAAGUGGAAGUGUGAAGCACCACAAACUGCUCUGAGCAGAGCCCACUUCCCUUCACCCACGGAGAGCGUGAAGCAGUUACACCAACAUCAAUCAAGGAAAACCCACAGGCUGAGCUCACACGGUUGAAGCAGCUCUGUAUUCUAAGAACCUGGAAACAAUCUUUAUUCACACUGUUAAGACGAUUGAGAAAAAUGGAUGGAUAGAGUUUAUUUGCUAAGAGAAAAACUGAGUGACUACCUAGCUACCUCACUCCUUUUUGCUCUAUUGGAAGUUGAAGAUUUGUCCAGGAGCAGAUAGCUGAAGAGAGAGAGAGAGAAGAGAGAACGGCUUACAGCUCAGGUCCUCUCUCCAUGCUUAGGAACCACUACAAAUGCUACUGCCUUGAGUCUCAUUUUGUUUCCCUCUGGAAACCACAUGUGUACCUUGUUUGCAACAGUAUGGGUAUGGAUGUUUUGG